UGAAACCCUUCUCCCCCAUAACCAAGAUCUUCUACCUUCUCCACCGCCGGUUCACUUCCACAGCCGCACCUCCUUCGCACUCCGAACGACCGCCGGCUGCCACCUGCACCGGAAUCACUUCCCCUGUCGACCUUCUCCGUCAUCUCCGCCUUGAUACCUCAACCCUACUCCGCUGACCCGCUACUCGACGCGGUCGCUCACCUCCACUUCAUCAAUCGUCGACCACCGCCACUUCUCCUCCAUCUCACGCCGCCCUCUGGAACCACGAGUCACCAAGCCCCACUACCGACCAUCGUUUUCAACCGCCGGCUGCCACCUGAACCGGCAACCCACCACAGUCGAACGACCGCCGGUCUACGUCUUCAGCCGUCGGACUCGUCUCCGAUGUUCACCGACACCCCCUUCUACGACUCUGCCCGCAUAUAUGGUUUUGAAUACUCUCUGCAUUGUUAAAGAGAAAAGGGUAGCCCAACUGUCUCAAGAUCACCACUGUCCAAGCGUUCGCAUAAAACAUCUUCGACCCGAUCCUCUGCCGCCUUUGUAGAUGCCUUCCACAUAUUUUUCCGAGCCUCGAGGACGAUGCUAUAUCUUAAGCUUGGGGAGGUUGAGAUUUGAGGUAAUUUCUAUGUUCUCAUUUUAGCUUGCAUUACCUAGUUAGUUUGUAAAUAGCUGCAUUCUUCAUGUUCGUUGCAUUUAGGGUGUAUAUACAUGCAUAAAAAAAAUUCUUAAAAAAAAAUUAAAAAUAAAAAAAAACCGUUUCUGUUCCGCUGAAAAUGAUUUGUGAAAAAUGAGAGAUGAUAUAAAAUUUCUGGCAUGUCGAAGCUUAUGCGUGAAAUGGUAACUUUGGGGAAGAAAACAUAGAUAAUUCGGGAUGUGUUGAUAGGCUCGGCCCUAACUUAGGAACACCAAUGUUGGAUGCAAUAACCUUAAUUAUAUAUAUGUGUUUAGUUUCCCAUCUUGAUGCUUGUGGUCAAAGAUUGAUCCCGACCAAAAAUCGGUUAAGUUGCAUAUCCUCUAUCACACACCAUGUUCUCCAUAUCAUGACACCUCCGUAAUAAAGAGGUGAAAAAUUGACCUCAAAUUGGUGAAAAAUUGACCUCAUAGGUUAUUAUAGUUUAAAACAAAAAAAAAAAAAAAAAAACAAAAAGAAAAAAAAAGAGAAAAAAGAAGGGGUAAAAGAGCACAAUGUUUGCCAAAAAUUUGAAAAAAAAAAUCGAAAUCGAAAUAAAAAAAUAUUUGAGCAAAUUAGGGAGAAAAGUCCCGACCCCUUGAAAAACGGAAAAAAAAAGAUAAUAACUAUCGUGUCAUGGUCUGGAUGCAUGGUCGCAUCAAGUGUGAUUUUGGAUAUCUUCAAAAAGUCGUGAGGUUGGGUAGAUGUUGCCAUAGGUGUUGGGCGUGGGGACGAUUGAACCAUGUUGGUAAAUUUGUAUAUUAUUAAGCAGAAAGCAUUUGGUUGUGAUUAAGCGGGUUUGAGUUUAAAGGGAUACAAAAUAUCAACAAUCGCGGUUACACGUUUAAGUAUUUCCCGGGUUCGAAUGAAUGUAAUAGGAGUUGAUAUUGUUAGAUAUGAUCUCAUUACAAGUUUAUUUUCCGGAAUAAAAGAAGCGGGUUGAAAAAAAAAUAGUAAGCAUGCAUAUGUGUAUUGUUUUUCGUGUUUAUUUCUCGGAUUAUUCUUAUUCUUGACUUCCUUGAGGACAAGGAAAGGUUUAAGCUUGGGGAGAUUUGUUAGUUGCAUUUUUAGGCACGUUUUAUUGCAUAAUAAUAUUAAUAUUUCACCACAUAUCAUGCAUAUUUCAUAGUCAUACCUCCUUAUUUUGCGAAAUACGCGUUUUUGUGGAACGGAAUCUACUUUGGACAUUUUAAUGAUUUUGUAGAUGUGGAGCAAUCGCCAUAUAUCACAAUGGGCGUGGAAAAGCUUAAGAGGUAUUCAUAAUAAAACAAGAAGAGCAAAGCAGCCGUUGAUGCGAUCCAAUUUAUGUUCAAGCUCAGUCAAAAGGAACAAUGAGGUUAAAAGUUGGUAACUUAGUGGAAGGUGUAAGUUUAAAGCUCAAGAAAAUAAAGAUCUAAAUAGAAUCUACAAGGAGCUCGAAACCAGCAGCAUCCAACAAAAAUUGAAGUUAUGAAAGUGGGCUUUAGUUAAUGAAUUUUAGUUGGACUAAAAUUUGGAAAUGGAAAUUAAAGAAAUUGUUGGGCUGAUGAUGAGAAUGAGAAGCUGGCCUUAAUUAAAUUAGAGAUGAACCACAAUAAAGAAAAAUAAAGGCCCAUGAGAAGUAGGGAAUUGUUGGCUGGGAAUAAAAAAAAGGAUCACGAACAAUCUAAAAAAAACCCAUCUUUGACGGCUGCAAAUUCGAGUGGAGUUCGAAAGAAGCAACAAAUCAGAUUUUGGGAAGUGAUUUUGGUUUGUUAGUUUAUGCUUUGUUUUGUAUUUGACUUGAUUGUUUUAGCCACCAUGUCCGGCUAGACGUUUAUAGUUUCGACAUCGGGGCGUGUUUUCUUUGAUUUGGU
rnacentral:lncRNA from 1 species